CAAACCGCACGCAGGUAACAAAAAAGCUCCCCCACGCACCCCACCAUACCUUCUUCCCUCGCCUACCCCCAGCCACCCUGGCUUUCUUCCACGCAGCCGCCAUGGACGACCGCUCCCGAGCACCUUCUCCGCGGAAGCCCCUCUCCUCCCCCUACCCACCUUCUACCAUGGAGCGGCCUUGCGAGUUCCUCCCCAAUUGCCACCCCCCGAGCCUCGGCGCGCACCUUCCACCUCCCAUGGAUCUUCACGCAUCACGUCCGAUGAAGGCAAUUUUUUUGACGGUGGCGCUCAACCUUCUAGAUCUGCCCCCUUCCCACCCUCUCCGCCGAUUUGCCCCACCACCGCACCGGACGGCCAUGGCAGCGCCGACGUCAAGCCGCCCUGCUAGUGCCACAACCCAGCCAUGACCCGGCGCAGCCCACCUCGAGCACGGGUCCUGGUGACGGAUCUGCCUGUGGCCUUGGCCUCACCAUCAGCCUCCCGGUGGCCGCCCCGCUGUCGUGGCCUCCCACAGAGCCCCACUUGCCUUCUCCCACCAAUCCCAACCCGGCUCGGCUCCCCCUCGUACGGUGCCGCCCCACCCAAUUUCCUGGUGAGAUCCGGUGACGAGGACUUGGUCCAUUAAUGUGAUCGCUUGCCGCUCCCCUCCUCCUCAUCCUGGCCUCAUCUCCGGCCCGGCCAGGGCUCACCUCACCUACCCCCAUGAGGUCCACCACCGGCUCCACUGCAGCCCGCCCUCCUGGCCUGGAGAUUUCCCCGAUGCACCAGCCUCCCCUACUUUCUCCCCAUUGAUGAACAGGAAACCACGCCAUUGUUUGAGAAAAGAUAGAUGAUGCAGAAAAGAUGACCGGCAGAUAUGAAGGAGGUCCAUUAUGGCCGAGGUUCUGGCGACAGCAACUUGCAGUCAAGCAUGACACGCAGCUCGUAGGCAUGCGCGUGUGUCGUUCGGUGUAUUGUCGUCCUUCCUCUAGAGAGAUCCUUCAUCCCCCUCGAGUAUCUCUCUUCUGCAAAAUAGAGUAGCCAAUCUCCUGCAAUUUUGUGGGUGCCUCACUACUGCGUGCGUGCAUACUGUUUCCUGCUCCUCUCGACCCUCCCUAGAGGGCAUGCAACUUGUCGGGUGCCGGCGUGUGUGCUUGCAGGUCCUACCGUCCUAGCAACCGAUGGGUCACCCCUUUUCAGUGAGCACUGCAUGCAAUGCGGGUGAGCGUGGCAUGCAGUGCACGCGAUUGUGUCGUGCAUCUCGCCGGGCAUCUGGGCGACAAACCUCACUUGCAGCUCUCUCCUCCACUCCUUGUUGUUCGCGGGAAGCAGGGGACAAGCGCACUACACUAGGGGUGGCCGGUGUCAUACUUUUUUUAAGUAGUUCAUCUUGUGAUGUUUUUUAGUAGUCAUCUUGCUGUAUGUUUCAGUUUGACCAUGUUAAUGCAUGCAGCUCUUUGCUGGUUUGGGUGCAGCUCGCAGGCAUUUGUGGAGUUCAAGGGCGCACAGGCCUGCGCGUGCGGUCCCAAAGGAUGAAGUGAUGUAGUUCUAUUGGAUGCCCUGUUACUCAAUUUUGUUGUUGUUGAAAAGUGCACUUCAUUAGUUCAUUGUAAAAACUACAGUUCAUUACCGUGAUUUGGCUGGUGGAGAGUGCAGAUUCUAUAUACUAUAAAACUCCUUUGUUGUCGA